rnacentral:lncRNA from 1 species
CUUGGUAUGUGAUGUCUUCUUAACUGGACUUUUGCAGAACUGAUUCCUCACCAGCCCUCUGCUUUUCAGAAAAAGCCCAUAGGUGUAAACCCAAGCUUCGAGCACAGCUGCACCUGGAAACACAGCACAGCUGUCAGCUGGGGAGGAACAGAGACUUUCAGUUUGCAAAGUAUUGACAGCUGGGUGAAAGAAGAGUGAUUGCACUAAGAGCAGAGGUAUGAACACUCUGGGGAGCCAAAAUUCUGCAAGAGGCAAUUCCACAAGCUUGGGAAGACCUGUCUCAGCACAUCCUAUUGCCAUAAUCAGGAUUCAUCCUUGGAGUCAUCAGCAGUGAUGAACUACACAGAACAUGUUUGGAUCAAGCAUCAGACUGGUUUUGGUUUGUGACUCAUUUAUUGGUCAGAAAUAGAGCUUAAU